rnacentral:rRNA from 1 species
AACGAACGCUGGCGGCAUGCCUAACACAUGCAAGUCGAACGAGACCUUCGUGUCUAGUUGCGCACGGGUGCGUAACGCGUGGGAACCUGCCCUUAGGUUCGGAAUAAUACUCUUAAAGGGGGGCUAAUACCGGGUAAUUUCUGCUGACCACAGAUUUGUCGUCUUUGUAUGAGCCCGCGUUGUUUUAGCCGGGUGGGAGUGUAAAAGCCUACCAAGGCGACGAUCCAUAGCUGGUCUGAGAGGAUGAUCAGCCACACUGGGACUGGGACACGGCCCAGACUCCUACAGGAGGCAGCAGUGGGGAAUAUUGGACAAUGGGCGAAAGCCUGAUCCAGCAAUGCCGCGUGAGUGAUGAAGGCCUUAGGGUUGUACAGCACUUUUACCCGCGAUGAUAAUGACAGUACCGAGAGAAUAAGCACCGGCUAACUCCGUG